GUAAAACUUAUGGAAACGCGGAACACCGAGUGACAUGAAGAGUGUCACUCUGAUAUAUAUGUGAGAUACUGUAUGGCCUGGAAAACAAUAUAUAAAGGAUAAUGAAUGAAUCGGUGAUGAACAUCAGUUGGUCUCAGUGUCUCUGUUUCAUCCUCCUGCUUCUUCAACUCACCACUGUCUCCACACAGGGUACAUAUUCUCCCGAA
rnacentral:lncRNA from 1 species